CUUCCUUCAGUCCCUGGGGUCUGGGGCAUCCUAGCCAUGCGUGGGGCCUCCCUGCUGGGAUUGGAGACCCCCUGACAGCUGGGGCUGGUCCCAGCAUCUUCGCUCUUCCCCCAGGAGGACUUGGACGCAGGGUCUUCUCUGCUCCCCGUCACACAGAGGGUGGCACACCCGAUGGGAACUCUGAUUUAUCACCAAACCAAAAGAUGGAGAAACUGACAGAGAAGGGCUGCAAGCAGCUACGGCAGGGCGGUGUGUGGAAGCAGAUGGGAUGGGCAGAUGGAGGCGGGGGCCAGCAUCGCUGCCUUCUUGCCCCUCCCAGAGGACCCCAGGUCCCCAGCUCGGGCGCCCCACCCAGACUGGUAACACCUGCGUCUGCUGUUUGGCACCGGGAGAUGAAUCACUUGCUUUUCAAAUUAGAAUCUUCCUUGCUGUCAGAAAUGUUUCUUCUCUACAAGGAAAUGGAGUCCCAGGCGGAGGGUACCUCGGAGCACACUCUGCAGCCUCCGGCUCUCCCUCCUAAGUCCACCUGCCCGGCCGAUUGGGCUGUGUGGUCACUGUCCUCAAGACCUUGUGUGCCAUGAGGGCUCAGAGCCCUGAGCCUCAGCACAGGAAGUGCCACCCAGGCAGCCAACACCUGCUCAGCGGGCGGACGGCCUUGCCGACUCGGCUUUGCUCCCGGGAGCCUCCUGGAGAAGAAGCCACAGGGAGACGGACAGCCCUGGGCAGCUCCAGCUUGCCAGCUCCAC
rnacentral:lncRNA from 1 species